rnacentral:rRNA from 1 species
UACAGGGGGUGCAAACGUUGCUCGGAAUCAUUGGGCGUAAAGCGCACGUAGGCGGUCUGUUAUGUCGGAUGUGAAAGCCCUUGGCUCAACUGAGGAAGUGCAUCCGAAACUGCUGAGCUUGAGUACGAAAGAGGAUCGCGGAAUUCCCGGUGUAGAGGUGAAAUUCGUAGAUAUCGGGAGGAACACCAGUGGCGAAGGCGGCGAUCUGGGUCGAUACUGACGCUGAGGUGCGAAAAGCGUGGGGAGCAAACAGG